GCCUGGAUAGCUCAGUCCUAGAGCAUGUGACUCUUGAUCUCAGAGUCGUGAGUUCAAGCCCCACCUUGGGUA
rnacentral:tRNA from 1 species